rnacentral:rRNA from 1 species
GUGGCGUAUAGCGCACGCAGGCGGUCUGUCCGUCGGAUNGUGAAUCCCCGGGCUCAACCUGGGAACUGCAUUCCAAACUGGCAGGCUAAAGUCUUGGAAAGGGGGGUAGAAUUCCCGGUGUAGCGGUGAAAUGCGUAAAGAUCUGGAGGAAUACCGGUGGCGAAGGCGGCCCCCUGGACCAAGACUGACGCUCAGGUGCGAAAGCGUGGGGAGCAAACAGGAUUAAAUACCCUGGUAGUCCACGCCCGUAACGAUGUCGACCUUGAAGGUGUGCCCCUGAGGCGUGGCUUUCGGAGCUAACGCGUUAAGUCGAACGGCUGGGGAGUACGGCCGCAAGGUUA